AUGCUAGAGCAACCGAUUAAUUUUCUGAGCUGGAAUGUGAGGGGACUGAACUGCCCAAAUCGACGCUCCACUGUCAAUGCCACGAUCGCCUCUUCGUCUUGCCAUGUUGUUUGCCUACAAGAAACCAAGCUCGACAACAUCGAUCAGUUCACGGCCGCCUUUUUAGGCGGGCAGAGAUUGCGCAGUUUCGCGCAAAGACCGGCAAUUGGCACUAGGGGAGGCAUCUUGCUGCUCUGGGAUGAUCUUCUUGUUGACGUGUCCGACAUAUCCCUCAAUACAUAUUGCCUUUCCGCCAUGGUUAGUGUGCGCGGGACCGAUGUGCUCUUCAAAAUCACC
rnacentral:rRNA from 1 species